rnacentral:tRNA from 1 species
CUUCGUGUGGUGUAAUGGUCAGCACACUGAGCCGGUAUUUCAGAGGUCCGCGGUUCGAUCCCCGGCGAAGG